rnacentral:lncRNA from 1 species
UUAUACUUAGGAUAAUUUGUCAAUCGAAUUGACCAAAUUACCCCUAGAUGAUUCUUAAUCAUCCAUCAGUCUUUAUGAUCAAUGUAGAAAACUUUUAUGCGUGUGACCCCAUAGAUUUGAACAUAAGCUGGUAGCACAGGAACAACUUUCUGUACUAAUCGAUGUGACCAUCUAGUAAUGCUACCUGACAUCCGGAUAGGCCAAAUAUAUGCGAAGCAAUAUUCUGGAAUCCUGGACUAUGGUUACCGUAUAAUUAAUCCCUAUGACUCCUAAUGCCAGGAUGACAUCAAAGUUCUGUCAACUCUGUAAAAGUACAUCCAUUCUGUGAUUCAAUUUUAGAAAUUCUGUGAUUCCUCACAAGGAUUACCUUAGCCAAGGUUUUACUAAAUUGAAUACAAAA